rnacentral:rRNA from 1 species
GGUAGGAUAGAGGCCUACCAUGGUGGUAACGGGUAACGGGGUGUUAGGGCACGACACCGGAGAGGGAGCCUGAGAAACGGCUACCACAUCCAAGGAUGGCAGCAGGCGCGCAAAUUACCCAAUCCCGACACGGGGAGGUAGUGACAAUAAAUAACAAUACGGGGUUCUUUCGGAUCUCGUAAUUGGAAUGAGUACAAUUUAAAUCUCUUAACGAGGAACAAUUGGAGGGCAAGUCUGGUGCCAGCAGCCGCGGUAAUUCCAGCUCCAAUAGCGUAUAUUAAAGUUGCUGCAGUUAAAAAGCUCGUAGUUGAAUUUCGGGACCAAUAUGUCGGUCGUGCCUCGGUACGUACUGGCAUCGUUGGUUUCCCCCUUCUGACGAACCAUGAUGUCAUUUAUUUGGUGUCGUGGGGAAUCAGGACUGUUACUUUGAAAAAAUUAGAGUGUUUAAAGCAGGCUCACGCUUGAAUACAUUAGCAUGGAAUAAUGAAAUAGGACGUUUGAUUCUAUUUUGUUGGUUUCUAGGAUCGACGUAAUGAUUAAUAGGGAUAGUUGGGGGCAUUAGUAUUCAAUUGUCAGAGGUGAAAUUCUUGGAUUUAUUGAAGACUAACUACUGCGAAAGCAUUUGCCAAGGAUGUUUUCAUUAAUCAAGAACGAAAGUUAGGGGAUCGAAGACGAUCAGAUACCGUCGUAGUCUUAACCAUAAACUAUGCCGACUAGGGAUCGGAUGAUGUUAAUUUUUUAAUGACUCAUUCGGCGCCUUACGGGAAACCAAAGUGUUUGGGUUC